UACAGAGGUGGCAAGCGUUGUUCGGAAUUACUGGGCGUAAAGGGCGCGUAGGCGGUUCGUUAAGUCCUGUGUGAAAUCCCCCGGCUCAACUGGGGAACUGCACAGGAAACUAGCGGGCUUGAGUGCAGGAGAGGAACGCGGAAUUCCAGGUGUAGCGGUGAAAUGCGUAGAUAUCUGGAGGAACACCGGUGGCGAAGGCGGCGUUCUGGACUGCAACUGACACUGAUGAACGAAAGCCAGGGGAGCAAACGGG
rnacentral:rRNA from 1 species